CUUUUAGUGUAAAUCAGACUAAAAUAAUUUUAGUUUGAGCGGUUAAAAUCAAAUAUGAUUUUGCCAUGAGAAUAAUGCCGAAACUGGCAUCGUAGUCAAACACUGUCGUCUGGCUAAAUUUAGAUCUACAAAUUUUUAUACAUCUAUUAGGUACAUUUAAUCAUCUAGACUCUAAUUUGAGAAUAUUAUUAUUAAUUGAAAGAGGAAUGAAGAUUACUGCCAGUGAAGAACAUUUGUGAGUGUAUGACGUGCCCAUAAGAUGCCACAUUUUCUUUCAUGAUGAACUGUGUACUAAUGAAGAUGAUUCUGGAAUGUUAUGAACAUUGACAUGAAUAUGAGGAACUGUCUGGUCAAGAUGAAGAUGUCAAGAUUUUAUGUUUGUUGUCUUCCCCUUAAAUUGAAAAUGCCCUUGUAAGACUUGACAGUAGUGGAAAAAUAUUGACAUAUUUUUUUUUCAAGGGGGGGAGGAAUCUGUUAGACACCUUAUUUAUAUAGGUUAGUUAUUUAGCGACGCACCAUAGAAGACGCAUAUUGAAUGGGACUAGUGACGUUUGGAAUAUGUUGGGUUAGAGACCGGAAAAUCAGUUAGCGAUAGAAUACUCCAGGGUAACGACGUGUUUAGUGACAGAGACUUCUACUGUGGCCUUUUAUCAGAAUAAAUCGAUGUGAAAUUGUU